CCUGAUGGCUCAGAGGUUAAAGCGUCUGCCUCCAAUGCAGGAGACUCGAGUUCGAUCCCUGGGUCAGGA
rnacentral:tRNA from 1 species